GUCUAUGACCAUACCACCCUGAAUGUGCCUGAUCUCCUCUGAUCUUGGAAGCUAAGCAAGGUCGGGCCUGGUUAGUACUUGAAUGAGAGAAAACGUACUUUUCUAUCCU
ensembl:rRNA 5S_rRNA 5S ribosomal RNA